AUACAAAGGAACUAUUCACCCGUAAAAAAGUUAAUGAACAACUAUUCAUCUAUUUUUCCUGAACAUAUAGAUGCUGAACCUAAUGUUCUUUAACAGUGGAGGGCGAAACAUGGCUUCCGCAUCCGUUAAGUGUGACUUCGCGGGUCAGGAGUAUUUUAUAUAUCAAAAUAGUAACCUGCGGUUUUGAAUGUAUAUUAUGCCUCGUAAAAGUUGUACAUUUAGUUCUGUCUUGUCGUAAGAACCAGACGUUAAACUCUAUCGAGAUUUGUGACGGUAGGAAUAUAUUUGAUCCGCACAAGAAGUAUGUCGCUGCUGUCUGCGGUUGAGGAAGCUAUUAAGACAUAUAAGGUCGAACAAGCCAAGCUUAACCGCACCAUUCAGUAUUGCAGAGAAAUCCUACAGAACCUGAAACCACAACACAAAGCAGGCUCUGAAGAAACAGAAUUAGCAGAUGAUGCUGCUGCAGAUGCAGAGUCCUCGCCAGGAGAGAAGGAAGAUAUAGAACUGCUUGAGCGGGCACUGGAAAAAGCUCUUUGGGUCCGCACCGUCUCAGAGGUCUCUAAACAAGACGUCGGCAAAAGCAAACUAUCUGCAACUUCUAAAGAAACAGAAAAUAUACCAACUCUAUCAGCAGUGACUAAAGAUGGUCAAUCAGUCAUCAAGUCAAGUAAAAAAUGUGCCAGCCUUCACAGAAGAGGGCACAAAAAGCCUGUUUUUUCUCUUAGCUCAAGGCCUUCAGCAGGCCAUAAAACAGCACAGUCCAAAAACAUAACCCAACACCAUCCCUUCUCAGCAGCUCAGGCUGGGCAUCACCAGACAUCUAGGAGAUUGCAACAGGCUCUCUUGGCAAGUUCUGCCUCUCCUGAUCAGAUCCCAGCCUCAAUCUCUAAAAACAAGACAGUCAGAAGCAAAAUGCCAAGAGGUGAUGGCCUGAGCAUAGCUGCAUCUGUCUCCAUGCCUUAUUCAAAUAACAUAGAGUCCUGUUCAGGAACAGAUGGAUCUGGGGCUGGCAGUUGGCAUCAACAGCAUGAGUAGAUGGAAAUAAUCAUGUUUUUAAUUAGCAAUUAAACAGACAUUCAUAUUUUUUCUUCACUUUGCUUUGGGGCAGGGGGCUUUCUGAACAAACUACAAAAUGGAAAUCUUUAAGGGGCAAACAGAACAGAUUGUGGGAAAAAGUUAUGAUCUUACAGAGGAAGCCUGAGCCUGGGAGGAAUCACUUCAUGCAGAGGAUGAGGGCUAUGUUUCCUAACGAUUGGCCAUGCGGUAGUCCAGAUGAGACCAGGUUUCAGCUUCACAGACUAACUGAGCAAGGGCUCAGCCUUGCACUGCGCUGCCGGACUGAAGAGAUUCUUGUCAAGCAGCCGUCAGAAAUGAAACCU